AACAAUCCGUGUUUGAUUGUUAUGGUUUUGUAAUGAAGCUCUUUGAUGAUUAAUAAAGUUGUUAGUUACCAAAAAAAGUUGGUCAAGGAGAUAAAUAAAUUCUUCUAUGAGGAAAUACAAUGUUAGAAAGUACAAAUGAUUUAUUUGUCUAUUGUUUUCCCUUUUAUUUGUAAACAUCUAUAUCUUAAGUUACACAUAAGUCUAUUUA
rnacentral:lncRNA from 1 species